rnacentral:rRNA from 1 species
GACGAACGCUGGCGGCGUGCUUAACACAUGUAAGUCGAACGGAAAGGCCCUGCUUGCAGGGUACUCGAGUGGCGAACGGGUGAGUAACACGUGGGUGAUCUGCCCUGCACUUCGGGAUAAGCCUGGGAAACUGGGUCUAAUACCGGAUAGGAGCCAUUUUUAGUGUGAUGGUUGGAAAGUUUUUUCGGUGUAGGAUGAGCUCGCGGCCUAUCAGCUUGUUGGUGGGGUAAUGGCCUACCAAGGCGGCGACGGGUAGCCGGCCUGAGAGGGUGGACGGCCACAUUGGGACUGAGAUACGGCCCAGACUCCUACGGGAGGCAGCAGUGGGGAAUAUUGCACAAUGGGCGCAAGCCUGAUGCAGCGACGCCGCGUGGGGGAUGACGGCCUUCGGGUUGUAAACUCCUUUCGCUAGGGACGAAGCUUUUGUGACGGUACCUAGAUAAGAAGCACCGGCUAACUACGUG